UUCUGUCUGGUGACUAUUGGGAGUCUGGAGACCCGAGUUUACCUGUUGCUGUUAGGCAUGGUAGAUUUUGACGUGAUUCUGGGUAUGGAUUGGCUAUCUCCGUACCAUGCUAUCCUGGAUUGUCAUGCAAAGACAGUUACAUUAGCUAUUCAGGGUAUUCCGAGGAUCGAGUGGCGAGGUCUGACUGAUUAUGUAUCCAGCAGGGUGAUUUACUUCCUAAAAGCCCAACGGUUGGUUGGAAAGGGUUGUCUAUCGUAUUUGGCUUUCGUGAGGGAUGUGGAAGCCAGGGAUCCUACCCUUGAUUUGGUUCCCGUUGUUAGGGAUUUCCAUGAUGUGUUUCCAGUGGACUUGCCGGGCAUGCUGCCAGACAGGGACAUUGAUUGCGGUAUUGAUUUGUUGCCUGGCACUCAGCCCAUCUCUAUUCCUCCCUAUCGUAUAGCACCAGUGGAGCUAAGGGAGUUGAAAGAACAACUUCAGAAACUCCUAGAUAAGGGAUUCAUUCGCCCGAGUGUGUUACCUUGGGGUGCACCGGUAUUAUUUGUAAAGAAGAAAGAUGGCACAAUGUGAAUGUUCAUCGACUAUAGACAAUUGAAUAAGGUGACAGUGAAGAACAAGCCCCCACUACCCCGUAUUGAGGAUUUAUUUGAUCAGCUCCAAGGAGCAAGGGUAUUCUCUAAGAUUGAUCUUUGAUCGGGCUAUCACCAGCUGAAGAUUAGGGAAGUUGUCUUUCGUAUUUAUUGAAGAUUUAUUUGAUUAGCUCCAAGGAGCAAGGGUAUUCUCUAAGAUUCACCUUCGAUCAAGCUAUCACAGCUAAAGAUUAGGGAUUGAGACAUUAUGAAGACGGCUUUCAGGAUGAGAUAUGGG
rnacentral:lncRNA from 1 species